AGUGAAUUCGUUCCCGGGCCUUGUACACACCGCCCGUCACACCAUGGAAGUUGGUCACGCCCGAAGUCGUUACCCCAACCUUUUGGAGGGGGAUGCCUAAGGUAGGACUGAUGACUGGGGUGAAGUCGUAACAAGGUAGCCGUACCGGAAGGUGUGGCUGGAUCACCUCCUUUUAGGGAG
rnacentral:rRNA from 1 species